rnacentral:lncRNA from 1 species
GGAAAACUUCAAGUUGGUAUUUUAGGAGGAAUCCAAAAUGAGCUUUCUUUACGCAGAGGGGGACCUUUUCAAGAAUCAGUUGUGUACAAGGCCCACAUAUCUUUGAUGCUUUUCUCUGAAAACCAGAUUCUCCUUCUGAAUAGAUGUUUGAUUGAGCUCAAUUCAAAAGAUCUUAUCUCCUUCCUUGCAACUUUCUCACUUCCAAGAAAUAUUAGCACAUUCAGAUGAGUCAGAAAUCUCUAGCAUCUCUCUGGUAACACAUUUUCACCAGUAAAUACAUCCACUCCUCUCAUGCAACAUCAUCUGAAGUGUUUCAAGAAAAGCACGUUUUUAUUAUAUGUUGAGUAUUGAAUUUUGUGUUUGGGAAACAAUAGUGACAAAGAGUCCCUCCUCAUACAUAGCUCAGGUUGUCAUUGGGGCAACAAUAAGGAACAGGUAAACCAAUAUCUUGGUUGAAGAAAAAUUGCACUGAGGGAGCAGGAUUGGAAUGAUGAGCAGCAGGAGGCCUUGGGCAGUGCUUAGACAGGAUGGUAGGAGUGGCCUCUUAGAGGAGAUGGUAUUUUUAAUAGAAGAGGAAUCUGCUUGACAAAAGUGAAACAGUGUUAUCUGGAAGGAAGUGUGUACAGGAUAUAAUCAUCAAGUGAUAAAAGUUCCUCUUUUACCCUUAAUUUUAAAAUAUAUUUAUGAAUUUCAUAUCCAUUUAGGAUGUCUUCAUGUGCAGAUUGCAAGUCUCUAUUAGAUAACUUUUGCUCAUGGGCAACCUCCAAUAUCUGCCUUCAGGAGGUCAUGAAGGUAUGCACUUAACUUCUUGGGAGAAAUAAGUCCUUUAAAUCUAUAGCAAGUGUGUGCAUGGGAAGAGUCUCUGUUUUCAUCUGUUGUAUGUCUAUUUGCGCUGAUGUAAGAUUUGGUCAACCACU